CCUACGUGAGGCAGCAGUGAGGAAUAUUGGUCAAUGGACGAGAGUCUGAACCAGCCAAGUAGCGUGAAGGAUGACUGCCCUAUGGGUUGUAAACUUCUUUUAUAUGGGAAUAAAAUGUUCCACGUGUGGGAUUUUGUAUGUACCAUAUGAAUAAGGAUCGGCUAACUCCGUGCCAGCAGCCGCGGUAAUACGGAGGAUCCGAGCGUUAUCCGGAUUUAUUGGGUUUAAAGGGAGCGUAGGUGGAAUGGUAAGUCAGUUGUGAAAGUUUGCGGAUCAACCGUAAAAUUGCAGUUGAAACUGGCAGUCUUGAGUAAAGUAGAGGUGGGCGGAAUUCGUGGUGUAGCGGUGAAAUGCUUAGAUAUCACGAAGAACUCCGAUUGCGAAGGCAGUUCACUGGACUGAAACGGACACUGAGGCUCGAAAGUGUGGGUAUCAAACAGGAUUAGAUACCCUUGUAGUC
rnacentral:rRNA from 1 species